rnacentral:rRNA from 1 species
UUGGUCAUUUAGAGGAAGUAAAAGUCGUAACAAGGUUUCCGUAGGUGAACCUGCGGAAGGAUCAUUACCUAGAGUUUGUAGACUUCGGUCUGCUACCUCUUACCCAUGUCUUUUGAGUACCUUCGUUUCCUCGGCGGGUCCGCCCGCCGAUUGGACAACAUUCAAACCCUUUGCAGUUGCAAUCAGCGUCUGAAAAAACAUAAUAGUUACAACUUUCAACAACGGAUCUCUUGGUUCUGGCAUCGAUGAAGAACGCAGCGAAAUGCGAUAAGUAGUGUGAAUUGCAGAAUUCAGUGAAUCAUCGAAUCUUUGAACGCACAUUGCGCCCCUUGGUAUUCCAUGGGGCAUGCCUGUUCGAGCGUCAUUUGUACCUUCAAGCUCUGCUUGGUGUUGGGUGUUUGUCUCGCCUCUGCGUGUAGACUCGCCUUAAAACAAUUGGCAGCCGGCGUAUUGAUUUCGGAGCGCAGUACAUCUCGCGCUUUGCACUCAUAACGACGACGUCCAAAAGUACAUUUUUACACUCUUGACCUCGGAUCAGGUAGGGAUACCCGCUGAACUUAAGCAUAUCAAUAAG